rnacentral:lncRNA from 1 species
UCCAUUCUUUUUUUAAAAUUUUUUAUUCAUUUACUUAUUGGCUGCACCAAACAGGAUGUUGAUCUUAGUUCCCUAACCAGGGAUCAAACCUGUGCCCACUGUAGUGGAAGGCAGAGUCUUAACCACUGAACCACCAGGGAGAUCCCAAUACUCUGCUAUUCUAAUUUUCUUUCUUUAUUCUUUUAAAAUUUAUUUAUGUGUUUAUGGCUGCGCUGGGUCUUUGUUGCCCAAGGGCCAUCUCCAUUUGUGGUGAACAGAGAGAAGGUGAAGGGCAGGUUACUCUCUCGUUUCUGUGCGAAAGCGUCUCAUCGUGGUGGCUUCUCCUGUUGCAGAGCACAGGCUCCAGAGCGCAGGUCCAGUAGUUGCUCCACAGCAUGUGAGAUCUUCCCGGACCAGGUAUUGAACCUGUGCCCCCUGCACCAGCAGGUGGACUCCCAACCACUGGACCAUCAGGGAAGUCCCAGACACGGUUCCUUAUUUGGUGCUGCUUGAAAUCUAUUAUCUGCUGAGAAUGCGGAAAACCAAGGCUUGAGUGUUGGUGAAUUUCUGAGUGAGGAAAUUCUCUGGUCUAUGAGAACUAUGACCUUCCAGCUUAGAUGUAUUGAUAUUUCUCACAUACUUUGGCAUCAUGUCUCAGACUCCUGUGGCCUGUUACCAUAUUAUCUAAUGUGCUGAUUCUUAGACAUUCU